GAUGGACGCUGGCGGCGUGCCUAAUACAUGCAAGUCGAGCGAACAGACGAGGAGCUUGCUCCUCUGACGUUAGCGGCGGACGGGUGAGUAACACGUGGAUAACCUACCUAUAAGACUGGGAUAACUUCGGGAAACCGGAGCUAAUACCGGAUAAUAUAUUGAACCGCAUGGUUCAAUAGUGAAAGACGGUUUUGCUGUCACUUAUAGAUGGAUCCGCGCCGCAUUAGCUAGUUGGUAAGGUAACGGCUUACCAAGGCAACGAUGCGUAGCUGACCUGAGAGGGUGAUCGGCCACACUGGAACUGAGACACGGUCCAGACUCCUACGGGAGGCAGCAGUAGGGAAUCUUCCGCAAUGGGCGAAAGCCUGACGGAGCAACGCCGCGUGAGUGAUGAAGGUCUUCGGAUCGUAAAACUCUGUUAUUAGGGAAGAACAAAUGUGUAAGUAACUAUGCACGUCUUGACGGUACCUAAUCAGAAAGCCACGGCUAACUACGUG
rnacentral:rRNA from 1 species